UACGGAGGGGGCAAGCGUUAUUCGGAAUUAUUGGGCGUAAAGGGCGCGUAGGCGGCUAGAUGUGUCAAAGGUGAAAUCCCUCGGCUCAACUGAGGAACUGCCUUUGAAACUGUCUGGCUUGAGGCCGGGAGAGGGUAGCGGAAUUCCCAGUGUAGCGGUGAAAUGCGUAGAUAUUGGGAGGAACACCAGUGGCGAAGGCGGCUACCUGGACCGGUACUGACGCUGAGGCGCGAAAGCGUGGGUAGCAAACAGG
rnacentral:rRNA from 1 species